GUGGGGAAUUUUGGACAAUGGGCGCAAGCCUGAUCCAGCAAUGCCGCGUGCAGGAAGAAGGCCUUCGGGUUGUAAACUGCUUUUGUACGGAACGAAACGGUCCUGGUUAAUACCUGGGGCUAAUGACGGUACCGUAAGAAUAAGCACCGGCUAACUACGUGCCAGCAGCCGCGGUAAUACGUAGGGUGCAAGCGUUAAUCGGAAUUACUGGGCGUAAAGCGUGCGCAGGCGGUUUUGUAAGACAGGCGUGAAAUCCCCGGGCUCAACCUGGGAGUUGCGCUUGUGACUGCAAGGCUGGAGUGCGGCAGAGGGGGAUGGAAUUCCGCGUGUAGCAGUGAAAUGCGUAGAUAUGCGGAGGAACACCGAUGGCGAAGGCAAUCCCCUGGGCCUGUACUGACGCUCAUGCACGAAAGCGUGGGGAGCAAACAGGAUUAGAAACCCCUGUAGUCC
rnacentral:rRNA from 1 species